ensembl:lncRNA
GUAAACUCUACAGAAUAAAGUUGUUAACAGGGUAAACUCUACAGAAUAAGGUUGUUAACAGGGUAAACUCUACAGAAUAAAGUUGUUACCAGGGUAAACUCUACAGAAUAAAGUUGUUAACAGGGUAAACUCUACAGAAUAAAGAUGUCUGAACACAGAACAUGUUAAUGGGUAAACUGCUGGUCAACAUUUUGACACAGCUGAAUCAACAACCAGUAGAAGCACAUCACACACCUUGUCUACGUCCCAAAUAGCAUCCUAUUCCUUGUUUCGUGCCCUACUUUAAUCUAGAGCCCUAUUCCCUGUAUUGUGCCCUACUUUAAUCUAGAGCCCUGAUCCCUGUAUCGUGCCCUACUUUCAUCUAGAGCCCUAUUCCCUGUAUCGUGCCCUACUUUCAACCAGAGCCCUAUUCCCUGUAUCGUGCCCUACUUUCAACCAGAGCCCUGAUCCCUGUUUCGUGCCCUACUUUCAACCAGAGCCCUAUUCCCUGUAUCGUGCCCUACUUUCAACCAGAGCCCUGGUAGUGGCCCUUAGGAUGAAUAGGAUGCCAUUUGGGACGUAGACCUUCGCCAGGUUUAUGAGGGGAAACCAACGCAUCCACACCUGCUAGGUAUGAACCCCGUGGGUGCGAACCACAGAAACACCCAGACACACAUCCCAGGACAUAUUCAUUAGGCGCACACACAGAGACACACACAGAAACACCCAGACACACACACACAAACACCCAGACACACACCCCAGGACAUAUUCAUUAGGCGCACACACAGACACACACACA